rnacentral:rRNA from 1 species
UUGGAGGGCAAGUCUGGUGCCAGCAGCCGCGGUAAUUCCAGCUCCAAUAGCGUAUAUUAAAGUUGUUGCAGUUAAAAAGCUCGUAGUUGAAUUUCGAGACCGGUUUACUGGUCGUGCUUUUGUACGUACUGGUAUAAUCGGUUUCUCUUUUCUGACGAACUAUAAUGCCAUUAAUUUGGUGUUAUAGGGAAUCAGGACUGUUACUUUGAAAAAAUUAGAGUGUUUAAAGCAGGCUCACGCUUGAAUACAUUAGCAUGGAAUAACGGAAUAGGACGUUUGAUUCUAUUUUGUUGGUUUCUAGGAUCGACGUAAUGAUUAAUAGGGAUAGUUGGGGGCAUUAGUAUUCAAUUGUCAGAGGUGAAAUUCUUGGAUUUAUUGAAGACUAACUACUGCGAAAGCAUUUGCCAAGGAUGUUUUCAUUAAUCAAGAACGAAAGUUAGGGGAUCGAAGACGAUCAGAUACCGUCGUAGUCUUAACCAUAAACUAUGCCGACUAGGGAUCGGAUGAUGUUAAUUUUUUAAUGACUCAUUCGGCGCCUUACGGGAAAC